ACUCUUUUGUAGUUCAUAAGCAUGAAGAUUGGAUGUCCAUGCUGUUGCAUGACAUGUGCAUUCCUCAAACCUUGCCACAACCAUGUUGGCACAUUAUCUAUCUGAUG
ensembl:snoRNA